CAAGGCAUUCGAGAGGCAUGGUCUAUCUCCACUUGACACUACAAUAAACGUGAAUGAUCUCCUUUCCCCACCCCCACCCCCCAUAUUUAUUUACAUUCUUCCCUAAACUGACUCAAAUAAUGAAAAUACCCCCCUUGAACUAACUACUUUGCCGCUCUGAUUUCUUUUCCUCUUUGCCGACUGCCCCUUUCUUUCUUCUAGCAUAUUUGAACUUGACCGGUGAUCUAUCAUUACCUCUCCCUCUGAAAUCCACCUUGUCCUCAUGGUGGAAGUCAGGGAAUUGAUGACGAAUCAACUCAACAGGCUCCCAUGUGGCCUCAAAUUCGAGACCAUCUUUCCGCUGAAUUAACACUUCCCGCUCAUAGGUAGAAGGAUUCUGCUUGAUCUUAACUGUUGUCUCUGGCUCCAUCUGAAACUGCUCAGUAGAUGUCAGCUGUGGAGGCAGGUGAGAGGCUGUCUGAACAGCACCUAUGGCCCUCCGAAGUUGUGACAUGUGGAAAACCGGAUGUAUAGCAGCAUUAGUUGGGAGUUUCAGCUUAUAAGCAACCUGACCCACCCUUGCCUCAAUCUCAAAUGGUCCGAAGUAUCGUGGAGACAACUUAGCAUGUGGCCUCAUGGCCACCGAUUUCUGACGAUGUGGGUGGAGUUUAAGAUACACCAAUUCACCCACUUCGAAGUUGACCUCGCGGUGCUUCCGUCUGCCACUUGCUUCAUUUGUUGCUGGGCACGACCUGUAACACUUUAUCUCUGUCCAACAACAUCUGUUCCACUGAGGUACCCUUCUCGAAGGGCAAAACUGGUGGUGGGGGCCUGCCAUACAAAUCUGAAAAGGGGCAUUUGGUAUUGCCAAAACCUCCCUUCUAGUGUCGACCAUGUUGAAGGAAUGUCAUGAUACCAAUGUUGGAGGCCAUUCAGGAUUCUUGAAAACAUACAAAGGAGAUCAUUCACGUUUACUGUAGUGUCAAGUGGGAAGAGUCCAGGCCUCUCGAAUGCCUUGGAUCUCUUCCUACUGCUAGUCUUUCAAUUCAAGGAAUAAAGAUACAUUUGCCAUUGAAUUUCCUCUCUCUCUCUCUCUCUCUCUCUCUCGGAAUUUACUAGAAUGAAUUGUAUAGGCUUCUCAUUAUAAAUGGGGCGGGGCAGGGUGGGGGUGUAGCUUCAGUUCACUCAGGCAGAAAUUAAGGGUUGAAAUGGGGACAGAGCUAAGCCUCUUGAAAGCUAAGAUCUCCGCUCUCUCCCAAUUUUUCACCAAACUACCCUCUCCUCUAAUAUUUAUAC
rnacentral:lncRNA from 1 species